rnacentral:tRNA from 1 species
GCUCUUGUAGCUCAGUUGGUAGAGCAACAGAUUCGUAACCUGUAGGUCGGCAGUUCAAUUCUGCCCAAGAGCUCCA